rnacentral:rRNA from 1 species
AGUUUGAUCAUGGCUCAGGAUGAACGCUGGCGGUAUGCUUAACACAUGCAAGUCGAACGGAAUCCUUAGGGAUUUAGUGGCGGACGGGUGAGUAACGCGUGAGAAUCUGCCUUCAGGUCUGGGACAACCACUGGAAACGGUGGCUAAAACCGGAUGUGCAGCAAUGUGAAAUAUUUAUAGCCUGGAGAUGAGCUCGCGUCUGAUUAGCUAGUAGGUGUGGUAAGAGCGCACCUAGGCGACGAUCAGUAGCUGGUCUGAGAGGAUGAUCAGCCACACUGGGACUGAGACACGGCCCAGACUCCUACGGGAGGCAGCAGUGGGGAAUUUUCCGCAAUGGGCGAAAGCCUGACGGAGCAAUACCGCGUGAGGGAGGAAGGCUCUUGGGUUGUAAACCCCUUUUCUCAGGGAAGAACACAAUGACGGUACCUGAGGAAUAAGCAUCGGCUAACUCCGUGCCAGCAGCCGCGGUAAUACGGAGGAUGCAAGCGUUAUCCGGAAUGAUUGGGCGUAAAGCGUCUGUAGGUGGUUUGUGUAGUCCCAUGUCAAAUACCAGGACUUAACCCUGGGCCGGCAUGUGGAAACUCGCAAGC